UACACAAAUUCUUGACACCAAAAACUGGAGUUCAAGAGUCUUGAAUUGGGUGUGAGACACAGAGGACUGGACAGGACCCUGAGAUCAUCUGGCCUUUGCCUGAGGUCCCUGGUAGCGUGCUUUUAGUGUUUUCCCAACAUCAUUAUGUCUUCAGUCUCUCAAGGGUUCCCCGAGAAAUCCGUCGAUGUGAUUCCCGGGUGCCUUGAGAAGCUGGUAACCGAUUCUGGUGCCUCACCUGUCCAUAUUACUGUGAUGUUGGGAAGCAAGUCCUCGCCAACAGUCUGCAGAACAGGAAGACGGGCGGCUCCCCCAAGAAGCGGUAAAUCUCAUUGGUUACGGUGACCUGAGCAUGUGCGAAUGAAGAGAAGGCCUCACUGUCAGCCUGACACAAGGAGUGAUCGAUGUCGUCGAACAGGAUGGCGAAGGCCUGGCAACCGAGCUUGCGUUUCAGGAGAGUCAGGUCACAGGAGGACGAGAAGACGAUGUCCUGACCGGGAGAGAGGGCGUAAACGAACCUUAGGCCUCUCGAUUGGGCCUCCGUGAUAAGAGUGCGCAGUUGACCUGAGAGGACAGCAUUUGAAGACGGGAGAAGAAGAAGCUGGACUCGACAGAAGGACGAAUGGUUCUUACCUUCCUCUUCAGGCGGACCGCGCUUCCUGGACAGAUGGUACAUGUUGUGCACCCAUCCACCAUCUCCACUCGGUUCCCACUAUGCCAAACUUACGCAACCCUGAAUACCGCCUACUUUUGAGCCGAAAGAAGUGGAUCUAUAAAUAACCGCAGUGCCCACUCCACGCCUGGCUGCUGCUACG